UGGCACAGUUGGUAGAGCAUGGUGUUUGCAACGCCAGCAUGGUGUGUGCAACACCAGGGUUGUGGGUUCGAUUCCCAC
rnacentral:tRNA from 1 species